rnacentral:rRNA from 1 species
GGAUUGACAGGUAUUAUAUAGCGCGCUUGCGCGUCUAUUGUUAAAUAUGCUAGUCCUUUCAUGAUUAUGUGAUAGGUGGUGCAUGGCCGUUCUUAGUUCGUGGAGUGAUCUGUCUGCUUAAUUGCGUUUCAGAUAAGGAUCUAUAUUCUUUACAGAAGUGUUGCGUAGUGCAUUUGACCCCCGUCGCGAGGCGUGUCUUUUCGCGCUCGCACGCUUUUUACAUUAGGUCC